rnacentral:rRNA from 1 species
AUUGAACGCUGGCGGCAGGCCUAACACAUGCAAGUCGAGCGGAUGAAGGGAGCUUGCUCCUGGAUUCAGCGGCGACGGGUGGGUAAUGCCUAGGAAUCUGCCGGGUAGUGGGGGAUAACGUCCGGAAACGGGCGCUAAUUACGCUUACGUCCCGUGGGAGAAAGUGGGGGAUUCUCGACCUCACGCUACCAGAUGAGCCUAGGUCGGAUUAGCUAGUUGGUGGGGUUAAGGCCUACCAAGGCGACGAUCCGUAACUGGUCUGAGAGGAUGAUCAGUCACACUGGAACUGAGACACGGUCCAGACUCCUACGGGAGGCAGCAGUGGGGAAUAUUGGACAAUGGGCGAAAGCCUGAUCCAGCCAUGCCGCGUGUGUGAAGAAGGUCUUCGGAUUGUAAAGCACUUUAAGUUGGGAGGAAGGGCAGUAAGUUAAUACCUUGCUGUUUUGACGUUACCAACAGAAUAAGCACCGGCUAACUUCGUG